CAUUAUUUGUUUAGCUUUAAAAUAAGUAUAAAAUCAGCCUAUUUUCCUUCAUAUGGCCGGCCAAACAAAGAACAAAGAAGAACAAAAGGAGAAAAGAAAAACAAAAACCCUAGGUGAAGAAUUUCAAGAGAAAAGUGUGGGAAAUUCAAGGAAACAAGUGACAAAAGGUAAAAUUUCUUGAUUUUGACUUGUGAUCUACCUUUCCCAUGCAUUUCUCCUUAUUUUCCAUGGUUAAAUUUCAUGUUGUCAUGGUGAAUUCAUAGCUGGUCAAAAUGGGUAUGGAGAGAGAAAGAUGUUGGAUUGAUUUGAUUUUAAGUUAUGUUAGUGUUUUUAGUUAGUUUAGCAUAUUUAGAAACAAAACAACAAGAAAAAAAAUUCAUUUUCCCCCAUCACCAUCAUUGGCCGAAUUUUCUAGGGAGGAUAUUGUGGCUGAAAUUGAUGAUAUUUCAUGAUAUUUGGGUGAUAAUUGAUGUUUGGUGAGGCUAGAAAUUAAAUGGGAAAUUUUGGUGUGAAAAUUUGAAUUUUUCUCAACGUAUAGACAUGUGUGAUUAUUGACCCAGGACUGAUAAAUUGAAUCUCAUUCACAGUCACUGGGGUAAUUUAGGUAUAAUUGGAGUGUAGAAAGUGAGAAGAAUUAAUUUGGAGUUAAAUUGAAGAUUUUAGCUAAUUACAUCGAGAAUAGUGCGAAUUAGGUCGAAUACCGUAUUUAAACGGCUAUUCGGACAUUUUGCAUCACAUUUCGUGCAUUCAUAUAGAUUUAUAAAGCCUAAAAUAGUUUAUGAUAAAUUGACACAAGUUAUUGAAAUUCAUGUCACGUAUGAUGUAUAGGUGGUGAGCCUUCUAACAAGAGUAAAGAGAUUGUGCCCGAAGAUUGGGUAUAAGAGUAUAUCGAACUCUUAGUACUAUGAGUAACCUUAUCAUCAUUUUAAUUAUCUAAAGUAUGAUUUUAAU
rnacentral:lncRNA from 1 species